rnacentral:rRNA from 1 species
UACGUAGGGGGCAAGCGUUGUCCGGAAUCAUUGGGCGUAAAGAGCGUGUAGGCGGUUCGGUAAGUCCGCUGUGAAAGUCCAGGGCUCAACCCUGGAAUGCCGGUGGAAACUGUCGAACUAGAGUCCGGAAGAGGCGAGUGGAAUUCCUGGUGUAGCGGUGAAAUGCGCAGAUAUCAGGAGGAACACCUGCGGUGUAGACGGCUUUCUGGACCAUUGCUGACGCUGAGACACGAAAGCGUGGGUAGCAAACAGG